rnacentral:rRNA from 1 species
UAAAGUCUAAUCUGCCCACUGAUAUAAUAUUAAAGGGCUGCAGUAUUUUGACUGUACAAAGGUAGCAUAAUCAUUAGUCUUUUAAUUGAAGACUUGUAUGAAUGAUUGGAUGAAAUAUAAACUGUCUCUAAUAUUAUUAGUUAGAAUUUAAUUUUUUUAUUAAAAAGUAAAAAUAAAUUUAAAAGACGAGAAGACCCUAUAGAGUUUUAUAAUUAAUUUAAUUGAAAUUAUUUAUAAAGAUAAUUUUAAAUUAAUAAAUUAAAAUUAAGUUAAUUAUUUUGUUGGGGUGAUAAAAAAAUAAAAAUAACUUUUUUUAAUAAAUAUAUAUAUAUAUAUAUAUAUAUAUUGUAAACAAAAAUAAAUGAUUUUUUGAUCCAGAAUUUUUGAUUAUAAGAAAAAAUUACCUUAGGGAUAACAGCGUAAUUUUUUUUUUUAGUUCAAAUAAGAAAAAGAGUUUGCGACCUCGAUGUUGGAUUAAGGAAAAAUUUAAAUGCAAAAGUUUAAAAUUUUG